rnacentral:lncRNA from 1 species
UCUCCCAAUCACAAAUUCCUUGGACUUUAUUGUUUAAGCAUAUAACAUUUAUAUGAGACGGCUCAAACAAUAAUUUAUGCCCUUUAUAUGUUAAACUAGAUUAGUUUAACAUGUGAAAUGUCCGUAAAGUAUCAUCACAUGAUUGGCUUUAGUGCACAUUUCCAACAGCCAGAAAUGCUAUGUUUCUUGAAGAACAAUUUGUUCUCAAAUGAACUAUAAGCAAACAGAUGGAAAUUAAUGAGAUUAAUAAUGAACCACAAACGAGCACUCGACAUAUUGACAACCCUGUUCCUGAACCCCUAGCUCCACGUAGAUCUG